GCCAGCGUGACGUAGUGGUUUGAGUGUUGGAUUAUGACUCUGGAGACCAGGGUUUGAUUCCCUGCUCAUCCA